UACGGAGGGGGCAAGCGUUGUUCGGAAUCAUUGGGCGUAAAGGGCGCGUAGGCGGCCUGUUAAGUCCAGCGUGAAAUUUCCACCGCUCAACGGGGAAACUGCGCUGGAUACUGGCGGGCUAGAGUGCGAGAGAGGUUGGUGGAAUUCCUGGUGUAGCGGUGGAAUGCGUAGAUACCAGGAGGAACACCGGUGGCGAAGGCGGCCAACUGGCUCGCUACUGACGCUGAGGCGCGAAAGCGUGGGGAGCAAACAGG
rnacentral:rRNA from 1 species